GUGCCAGCAGCCGCGGUAAUACGGAGGGUGCAAGCGUUAUCCGGAUUUACUGGGUUUAAAGGGUGCGUAGGCGGGCUUUUAAGUCAGCGGUGAAAGCUUCGAGCUUAACUCGGAAAUUGCCGUUGAUACUAUUAGUCUUGAAUUAAGUUGAGGUGGGCGGAAUGUGUCAUGUAGCGGUGAAAUGCUUAGAUAUGACACAGAACACCGAUUGCGAAGGCAGCUCGCUAAACUUAUAUUGACGCUGAGGCACGAAAGCGUGGGGAUCAAACAGGAUUAGAAACCCCGGUAGUCC
rnacentral:rRNA from 1 species